GGGAAGGUGGCUCAGUGGUAGAGCGCUUGCCUUGCAUCCAUGAGGCCCUGGGUUCGAUUCCCCAGCACACUUG
rnacentral:tRNA from 1 species